CGUUAGCUGAAAAAUCUGAUUUGUACCCUGCUACAAAGCAUUCCAUGACUGAAAUCUCGCAAUUGACCAGUCGAUGUCUUGUAUUUCCGACAAUUCUGUCACCUUCGUGGCACCUAAAUGGUCCUGUAGACCAUUGCAGGAGCCCACAGAGAGUCCAUGUUGGGAUGUUGGGAGGUGGGGGGCGCCUUAGAGCAGACGCUGUGAUUGGAGGAGCUGGAGAUGGGGAAGGACAUGUGGACUGGCUUUGGUUUUUUCAAAGCUAUCAACACCGGGCAGGGGAGAGCAGAGUCAGAGAAGAGGGAGCUCUCAGGUAGCAAAGAGCCACCUGUGAGAUGGAAAACCUUUCAGGGAGCUCUCUCACAUCUGCUGUUCAUGCUGCUAUAGCCUUGGCUUUGCCUGGUGUCCAGGAGGAAGAAAUUACCAAGAUCUCAACAUUGCAGUUUUCAUGGAGUGAUCGUCAAAAUCGGAAGGAACCUCGGAUAUCUCCUGGCUCCAGCUCUCUGUUUCUAGAUGAUUUUGAUUUGGAGAGAUGGGAAAGCAGAUCUGUCUGACUCUGAGGAUCUCCACAGUGGUGGAGGGUCCUGUUGAUUACAAAGUGCCUUCUGGAGACUUCUCACCACCAGAACUGUUCAAGUUCUGCUCCAACUGAGAGCUGAUUUGUUUACUCUUAUUAGUUUUAUCUGGUUGAAGCCUUCCUUGCCCUGCUUUUUUUUUUUUUUUUUA